rnacentral:tRNA from 1 species
GGGAGAUUAGUUCAGUUGGUUUAGAACGUCUGGCUUACAACCAGAAGAUUCGGGGGUUCGAAUCCCUCAUCUCCCA